UCGGGUAUGGUGUAACGGCUAACAUUACCGCCUCUCAUAAGAGCAGCCCGCGGUAGCUCGGGGUUCGAUUCCCCGUACCCGAA